AUUCUUUUUUUAAAAGGGGAAGACAAAACCCUUUCGGUUGAUUAGAAGGAGCCCUCAUCUCGAUCCCCACCUUGGUUCAUCGCCCUCGGUUUCUGUUCUGAUUUUGGUGUUCUAGCCACCGAAGGCAUCCCUCUCUUCUGCACGCUGCAAGAUGAGUAGGGGUGCUUGUCAAUUGCUAUAGGAAAAUAGCUUAUGUCUUGUUCAGUGCUCCAUGCGAAGGCGUUGGCAGCUUGAGCAGGCCUUGGCAUUGCAAUUCUCCAAUUUAAGGUACAAUAUGUUUGCAUAGAGCAUUACUCUUCUACGGUUUCUUGGAUUAGUUCUACUUCCAUGUGUAGGAACACAAGAAAUCCUCUAUUGCGGGAUAUUUUCUGGUGGAGGCUGUCCCCCUUUUCCAAGCUACGCACGUGCAUCGCGAGGCAAAUCAAGCAGUGGACUAGGCUGCGCGACAAGCACUGGAUGGGGUUUUGUGUUAGAUUCUUAGACAAUUGUUCCACCAGUCUUCGGCUGGAUCGUGAUUGCUAGUAUUUUGCCGAUGGUUCCAGAGGACUUGAUUAAAUUUCUAGGCAUAUUAUCCUAUAUGUAACCCCAAAAAAAAUACACCCCAUUGCCUUUAGCCAAGUAACCCCAAUUGUGCAUUGGUUGAUUCAAAGAAUCGAAGUCUUUUUUUUUUGGAUGUGAACAAGAGGUAGCAGAGCUACCCCGCUUUGUUCAAAACAGAAUUUAUAAUCCUCAGACAGAGAGAACCACAAAGCGAUUAGAGCUCUGUUCAAAUUCCGAACA